rnacentral:rRNA from 1 species
AAGCGUUAUACCGAAGCUCUGGACUUUGCCGCAAGGCAGAGUGGUAGAAGAGCGUUGCAUGCGCGUCGAAGGGCGAUGGCGACUGACCCUGGAGCACAUGCAAGUGAGUAUGCAGACAUGAGUAACGUUAAGCCGGGUGAAAUCCCCGGCCGCCGUAAACCCGAGGUUUCCAGGGCAACGUGUUUCGUCCCUGGGUUAGCCGGGACCUAAGCCGAGGCCGAGAGGCGUAGGCGAUGGACAUCAGGUUAAUAAUCCUGAGCUCGCAACCCUUAAACUGGGGGGACGCAUGAGAAAAGAUGACUAGGUUAUUGAAUUCCGAGUUGAGUCCACGGACUCAGCGCAUCAUUGGAUCGAGUGCCAAGAAAAGCCCCAGCGUAUGCUAAGCGACCCGUACCGCAAACCGACACAGGUGGGUGGGUAGAAUAUACCAAGGCGUAAGAGUGAAACCUGGUUAAGGAACUCGGCAAAUUAGCCCCGUAACUUCGGAAGAAGGGGUGCCUGCAGCGAUGCAGGCCGCAGAGAAAUGGCCCAACCGACUGUUUAUCAAAAACACAGCACUCUGCAAAGACGCAAGUCGAAGUAUAGGGUGUGACACGUGACCAAUGCCGAAAGAUUAAGGCAAGGGGUUAGCCGCAAGGCGAAGCUCUAAACCCAAGUCCCGGUGAAUGUCGGCCGUAACUAUAACGGUCCUAAGGUAGCGAAAUUCCUUGUCGGGUAAGUUCCGACCUGCACGAAUCGUGAAACGAGUUGGGCACUGUCUCAACCAGGCGCUCAGUGAAAUUGUAGUGGCGGUGAAGAUGCCGCCUACCCGCAGAAGGACGGAAAGACCCUAUAGACCUUAACUGUAAGCUGUCAUUGUUUCUUCGGUUUUAAUGCUCAGAGUAAGUGGGAGACGCUGAAGACGCCCUUUAGGGGGCGUCCGAGUCAUCAAUGAGACACCACCCUUUGAAACUGGAGGAUCUAACCCUGAGCCGUGAAUCCGGCCAGAGGACCGUGUCAGCCGGUCAGUUUUACUGGGGCGGUAUCCUCCCAAAGAGUAACGGAGGAGCGCGAAGGUGGGCUCAGCCCGGUUGGCAACCGGGUGUCGAGUGCAUGGGCAUAAGCCCGCCUAACUGUGAGACCAACAAGUCGAGCAGAUGCGAAAGCAGGCCCAAGUGAUCCGGCGGUAGAAAGUGGAAUUGCCGUCGCUCAACGGAUAAAAGGUACCUUAGGGAUAACAGGCUGAUCACGCCCAAGAGUUCAUAUCGACGGCGUGGUUUGGCACCUCGAUGUCGGCUCGUCGCAUCCUGGGGCUGGAGAAGGUCCCAAGGGUCCGGCUGUUCGCCGGUUAAAGCGGCACGCGAGCUGGGUUCAGAACGUCGCGAGACAGUUCGGUCCUCUAUCCUCUGUGGGCGUUGGAAAAUUGAGGGGUUCAGACCUUAGUACGAGAGGACCGGGUCUGACGCACCACUGGUGCAUCGGUUGUACUGUCAAGUGCAUGGCCGAGUAGCUAAGUGCGGACGGGAUAAGCGCUGAAAGCAUCUAAGCGCCAAGCCCUUCCCAAGAUGAGUUUUCCCUACAGGUUCGUGGAAGACCACCACGUUGAUAGGUCGCAGGUGUAAGUGCAGCAAUGUAUUGAGCCGAGCGAUACUAAUUACCAAUUGACUUCAUC